GAAGAUUACAUUUUCUCAAAUCUUUACUCACUUUUAAAUCGUCUUGGCUGAAGAGUGGAAGCAAGUUCGGUGAAUAAUUUACGUUUUUAUUUGAUUCGAAGUUUUUUGAUUAAUUUUUCACGCGGAACAAAGGCUCUGCUCUCGAGCAAUUAUUUAUCGUACAAAAGCAGCGUCCGAUUGACGCUUUUUGUACGGGCUAAAAAGCUCUACGGCCUUUUUCGGCCAUUACUACUCCACGAGGUGGACAUCUGGACCGUGCAGGCCCGCCAUUACGGUAGCCAAACGGGUAUAGAGGCCCUCCGACCUGCCGAGAAUCCGGAGAAGGUUCAUUUCGUCACGGUGGUCGCGUAGUCCCGAAGGCGAAGACCAGUUGGAGGCACGUUGGCCUUCUA